rnacentral:rRNA from 1 species
AACCUCCGCAAUGUGAGAAAUCGCGACGGGGGGAUCCCAAGUGCCAUUCUUAACGGGAUGGCUUUUCAUUAGUGUAAAGAGCUUUUUGGAAUAAGGGCUGGGCAAGACCGGUGCCAGCCGCCGCGGUAACACCGGCAGCUCUAGUGGUAGCAGUUUUUAUUGGGCCUAAAGCGUCCGUAGCCGGUUUAAUAAGUCUCUGGUGAAAUCCUGUAGCUUAACUGUGGGAAUUGCUGGAGAUACUAUUAGACUUGAGACCGGGAGAGGUUAGAGGUACUCCCAGGGUAGAGGUGAAAUUCUGUAAUCCUGGGAGGACCGCCUGUUGCGAAGGCGUCUAACUGGAACGGUUCUGACGGUGAGGGACGAAAGUUAGGGGCGCGAACCGGAUUAGAUACCCGGGUAGUCCUAACUGUAAACGAUGCGGACUUGGUGUUGGGGUGGUUUUGAGCUGCUCCAGUGCCGAAGGGAAGCUGUUAAGUCCGCCGCCUGGGAGUACGGUCGCAAGACUGAAACUUAAAGGAAGU